rnacentral:rRNA from 1 species
AGAGUUUGAUCCUGGCUCAGGACGAACGCUGGCGGCGUGCUUAACACAUGCAAGUCGAGCGGAAAGGCCCUUCGGGGUACUCGAGCGGCGAACGGGUGAGUAACACGUGAGCAACCUGCCCUUAGCUCUGGGAUAGCUCCGGGAAACCGGAAUUAAUACCGGAUAUGACCACCUACGGCAUCAGUGGUGGUGGAAAGGAU